rnacentral:rRNA from 1 species
GACGAACGCUGGCGGCGUGCUUAACACAUGCAAGUCGAACGGAAAGGCCCUGCUUUUGUGGGGUGCUCGAGUGGCGAACGGGUGAGUAACCCGUGAGUAACCUGCCCUUGACUUUGGGAUAACUUCAGGAAACUGGGGCUACUACCGGAUAGGAGCUCCUGCUGCAUGGUGGGGGUUGGAAAGUUUCGGCGGUUGGGGAUGGACUCGCGGCUUAUCAGCUUGUUGGUGGGGUAGUGGCUUACCAAGGCUUUGACGGGUAGCCGGCCUGAGAGGGUGAACGGCCACAUUGGGACUGAGAUACGGCCCAGACGCCUACGGGAGGCAGCAGUGGGGAAUAUUGCACAAUGGGCGGAAGCCUGAUGCAGCAACGCCGCGUGCGGGAUGACGGCCUUCGGGUUGUAAACCGCUUUCGCCUGUGACGAAGCGUGAGUGACGGUAAUGGGUAAAGAAGCACCGGCUAACUACGUG